rnacentral:lncRNA from 10 species
AUUCUUAUGCCCUCAUUUUCAUGUAAUGUUACUACUAUGAAGAAGUGUAAUUAAGACUUUGAUAUGAGCCUUCACAGUCUAAAGAGUGCUUCAGUGACAACAGUUUUAUUAGAUUAUGGUGAUGGGCCUGGCUGUGAAAUUCCCACAUUCAUGAACGACUCUGCUUUUUACUGGCUAAAAACAGGAUUUUAAAAUGCAAUGACCUUUGGGACUCUCAGAUAAGUUGCCUCUUCAACCCUGAGGUUAUUUGAUGAAUUGCUGGGGACAUACAGAAGGAUGGAUUAAUGAAUGCUGUGCUCAUCUUGUCUACUGGCACCAUCUGAGGGACUGAAGAUCAGGGUGCCUCUUUAGACUUUGGCUUGAGAUUACAAUGUUACCCCCCUCUUUGCUCUAGUAACUCCAUCCUCUCCACUCCAUCACUCUCUAUUAUCUCUAGGAUGCCGUAAAGCACUUACAGUUAUUUUUCCUCACAGUGGAAAAUCUCUUUAUACAAACUAUAUAAACUGAGACCCACUGUCCUUAUACAAUCAGGGCCAACCUCUUUCCCACCAAAGACUAAUUCUGCCCGGAUGCCCAGGAUAGUUAUUUUACGUACAUACACUAUCCAUACCCUAAUCCCAAGCCAGGUAAAUAUAUAUGUAAUAUCCGAGGUGGAUGUUUUUAUUACAUGGUGCCUACAUUUAGAAGUAUAAAAUCUCUUAAUUGGUUCCCAUCCUGAUUUUUUUAUAAACUCAAGCUUUUCGGGUCUUUACUUUGAUUUUCCAUAUUUUUCUUUUCUCUUUGUACUUGCUAACAGAACUCUGGUUUCUUUUCAGAUACCAUGCAAAAAAUAGGCUCAGAUAAGGCACACGUAUGCCCAUGAGUCAUAAUUCAUCUAUCCCUUUCAUCAUAAUUCCAUUCUCCUUUGCCAGGGAUUGGUUUAGGGACGGGCAUGUGACUCAUUCACCAAAUGAACAUAAAAAGAAAUCUGUUGGGAUUGAUUUUCCUUUUGUAAAAAAUAAAAGAGACAAACUCAUGAGGAAAAUCUCAUGUUCCUCCAUGUUUUUAAAUCUUAUUUCAUGAGGAUGGGGGCUUGGAGUUGUGGCAACAAUAACAGAGAAGCCAAGAGAAUCCUAAAAAAGCUGACCCAGAGAUGUGACAUUUGUGAGAUGUUAAUUAACCACCUUGGAAACUGUCACUUCUAGACUUCUUGUCAUCUGAAAUAA